GAAUAGUUAGGUAAUUCAUUGAAUUCUUCUAGUUAGUUUCCAAUUACUCCUCCUUAAGAAAAUGAUAAAGAACAUUAAGCUUUAAUUUGAUGGCCAGAAGCAUUUCUAUUUUUGUUCUAGUCUGAAUUCUUCUACCAGAUUCGGAAAGCCCUCUUUUUUACAUUUUUUGUGUCUUUGCUCAAAUUAUAAACAGUGCAUCUUUUAUUUCCAUACACUUAUUUUCUCUGGUAUGUUCUACAAACAACUCAAUGCCUCUUUAAAUCUUAAGAAAGUUAUGCUAUUUCUUGUGUCUGUCAAAUCUACACAUGUUACUUAGUAUCCUUUGGACUCACUCAUAUCACAUCUUUAAACAGAAAAAGAUGAGAAAUGGAAAAGGACUUGAAAUAUUAUUUGGAAAGAAUCCUAGUCAACUUGCACUAUUUCAGCCCACUGGACUUAUCUGAAAUAAUACUAUUUCAGGAGAAAAGAUUAGGACUAAAUAAAGAUAAUGAUUUAUAAAUGUUAUUACUGAACAGCUGUUACAUUUUUAAGAAACCUUGAAUAAAGGAAGAUGUCCUAUUUAGAAAAUAAUGCUUACAUGAAGCCCAGAACUGAAGUUUACAGUAUUAUUCAAUUUAAACUGCUUUGGAAUUCUAAUUUGCAUGGUUCUAUUGAAUGAAGUGAAAAGAUU
rnacentral:lncRNA from 1 species